rnacentral:rRNA from 1 species
CAGAAUGAUUAGUGGCGAACGGGUGAGUAACACGUGAGUAACCUGCCCUUAACUUCGGGAUAAGCCUGGGAAACCGGGUCUAAUACCGGAUACGACCUCCUGGCGCAUGCCAUGGUGGUGGAAAGCUUUAGCGGUUUUGGAUGGACUCGCGGCCUAUCAGCUUGUUGGUUGGGGUAAUGGCCCACCAAGGCGACGACGGGUAGCCGGCCUGAGAGGGUGACCGGCCACACUGGGACUGAGACACGGCCCAGACUCCUACGGGAGGCAGCAGUGGGGAAUAUUGCACAAUGGGCGAAAGCCUGAUGCAGCGACGCCGCGUGAGGGAUGACGGCCUUCGGGUUGUAAACCUCUUUCAGCAGGGAAGAAGCGAAAGUGACGGUACCUGCAGAAGAAGCGCCGGCUAACUACGUGCCAGCAGCCGCGGUAAUACGUAGGGCGCAAGCGUUAUCCGGAAUUAUUGGGCGUAAAGAGCUCGUAGGCGGUUUGUCGCGUCUGCUGUGAAAGCCCGGGGCUCAACCCCGGGUCUGCAGUGGGUACGGGCAGACUAGAGUGCAGUAGGGGAGACUGGAAUUCCUGGUGUAGCGGUGAAAUGCGCAGAUAUCAGGAGGAACACCGAUGGCGAAGGCAGGUCUCUGGGCUGUAACUGACGCUGAGGAGCGAAAGCAUGGGGAGCGAACAGGAUUAGAUACCCUGGUAGUCCAUGCCGUAAACGUUGGGCACUAGGUGUGGGGGACAUUCCACGUUUUCCGCGCCGUAGCUAACGCAUUAAGUGCCCCGCCUGGGGAGUACGGCCGCAAGGCUAAAACUCAAAGGAAUUGACGGGGGCCCGCACAAGCGGCGGAGCAUGCGGAUUAAUUCGAUGCAACGCGAA